GUCGGUAUAACGUCAGAAGACAUGGGUUGGAUAUUUUAUAGGAUGCAGGGAGACGUCUGGUACCUUCUCGAUCAGUCUUACUUGUGUCGUGGGCUUUUGUUAACGAACUUUCUGGUAAAUUCUGGAGCUUUGUGGCUUUCAUAGGGAAGCCUCUGGACUCUGAGCUUGGAUGUGGGCUUUUUUUUGUGUUAUCCUCAAACGGUGUCAUCCACACUGUAAAGUUAAAUAAAGUAUUUUCACACAUGUAAUUGUAUAAUGAUCGCAUCUUUAUGUUAAACAAACCCACAAAUGUCAAUUAGAGUACUAAUCUUUAAGUUUCAUAUAAAUCAUUUCUGUUCACUUCUUCAAAUAUCAUAAUUCAUAACCCACACACUAUAUAUAUAUCAUCUCAUUUGUUUUCUUGUUGGCAAUAACUUAUAUCACACACGCACAAUUAA
rnacentral:misc_RNA from 1 species